rnacentral:misc_RNA from 1 species
AACUUUUGACAAUGGAUCACUAGGCUCUUGCAUCGAUGAAGAACGCAGUGAACUGCGAUAACUGGUGUGAGUUGCAUGGCACUUCUAAUCUAACACCAAGCGAAUCAUCGAGUCUUUGAACGCAAACGGCACCCUUCCAGUCCAUUCCAAAGCGGUGGCGGAGGAUGAAGACAAGGGUAUCUCUGGCUGAGGGUAAUGAAAACUGAUCCAGUUGUACCGACUGGUCACUGGGGAUUGGGCUUGCUUGGGGUAAUUAUCAUUGCUCUGGCUUGCCUUAAAAUCAUGCGUUGUGUGGAUUGGACUUUCAAGCAUGCAUUGGGGACGCAGGCUCUGCGCUAUAAGGCAAG